GAAAAGUUGCUGCCAAGUUCACGCCGGUUUUUAUAAAUAUCCUGUUCGGCAAUAAAUAUCUAUACCCAGCAUGGAAUCAAUUGGGAAUAUAAAGCCAGAUCAGUGUAUGCAAGAGAAAAAAAAUACCAUAUUCAGGAAAAGGACUUGAAGUUUGUCAGUUGGACCCGAGGCUUGUUGCUUUUCUGAAUGGUGUUAUUUUCAAGAAUGGGGAGUCAGUGAAAUUAUUGGAAAUCAAAUGUCUAUUCAUUGGUCAAAUUAUUUCUGCUGAAAAUACUGAGCACCAUUGCCAAUAUUUGAGAAGAGGAAAAGCCAGCUAAUUUGAAAGAAUGAAUAAACAUUAUGCUAGAGUCUGAUUAAGUAUGGCAAUUAUGAAUUUGAAAAAUUGCGACUCUAUAGUGUUCUCAUCUGGUGAUGAGACGUUCAAAACUGUUAGUGAGCCAUUUGAUGAAGAAUUCACAAAAAAAUAAUUCUCAAAACUUGAAAUGAUUUAUUUUGAAAAUAUGCUUUACACAUUGUGUAGCAUGAAAGUUUUAAUUUUUCAAUUAGAAAGAUAUUUUUCCAAGCCUUAAUUAUGCUGUAAUAAGACCAUCCAGAAUAAGAAAAGUUCCGAAUCAUACAUGUCUGAAGUUAUACAUGUUAUAACUUCUUGACUAUUGAAAAAUUUGAGUCCAGUUGUUAUUAGUAAGAGAGUAAAGGAUUUGCUAUUGGAUCAUACAAUAUACAGGUUGAGUGAUUUAUUUAGGAAUCAUUUUUGUAAAUAUUAUUUGAUAAUUUGUAACUACAAACAUAUUUAUUUUUUCAUUACAAUGACUAUUAAUACUAUUCAUUUAUAGUUUAAGAUUUUUUGAUUGACAAGCCAUGUAAACUUUUGAUGGCGUAUGUUUUUAUGGAUUUCUUGUGUGCAAAUAAAUUAUUAUUAUUAUCAAA